AGGGCUGCACACACGAUAGUGCGCACAGGCUCCGGGCUCUUUCUGGCAGCCACCUAUUGCCUCCGACCAGAGGCAGCUGCAGGACUCACCUGUAGGUCUGUUCCCCAGACAGGGGGAAGAACAUCAGUCCCAUCUCCUCAGGGCUUUUGCAACUGAUGCAAAUACAAAGAAAUGCAGGUAAAGAGAGUGAUAAAGCACAUAAGAUCAGCCGCAUAAAAUGCCAAACCAAAGUCAAGGUUUUAUUUUUUUUCUGUAAUGGGAAAGAGAAAAAAAGUAUUUGUAGCAAUAGGGGGAACAAACUGUAAAAAUACAGUUAGCACUCUGGCAGAACUCAAUGGAAAAGGAUACUUUGAUUAGACCCUCUCCUGAGGGCAUCUCCAUGUCCUCAGGAGGUCAUGAGGGUGACCUCCGUGUCCUCAGGGCAAGUGCGAACUCCCAUCCACCCCAGACCACCGCUGCAGGAAGGGCUUACAGGAUGGCACAGCUGUCUCUGGUGCCUGGGAUGACAACUCUAAGGACAGGUAGCCCACCGACUGCCCAAGUUGCCUAGAAGUAAUGGAUGUUGCUUCUCCUCCCCUCUCCUUCUCUCCUCUCCCCCUCUCCUCUCUCUUCCUCUCUUCUCUCCCUCUGAAGGGGAGGCCUUCACAGACAAACUAUGUGGGGUGCAGGCCCAGCAGGACAGAAGCUCCUGGGAAGCAGCCAUUUCCUUGCUGACAAAGCCCCUGGAGGAAAUGCUGACAUCAAUUCACAGCGGUAAAACAAUGAAGGGAUAAGUGUUUCCUGGCAAGGGAAGGGCUGCAGUGCAGCUGGAAGGGAACGGCGCGCUGCGGUCAAGGGCACGGGAGCACAGCCAACUGAGAGACGGCCAAGGAGACAACUGCCCACGUGACUGUCCCCAGGUGGACCAAGAUAACUAUCUUCUGUCCUUGGCCAUCAGAGCUCCUGAUUUAGACUUGCACUGGAUUAUACCUCCACUUCUGUUUCUCCAGUUUGAACAGCGUAUUGUAGGACCCCUCAGCUCCCCUGUUGUACUUCUGUACAUCUCUCUAGCUAUAUUCAUAUCUAUUGCUGUAUUUCCUACUGGUUGUUUCUCUGGAGAACCCUACAAUACCAUUCUUCAUCUCUUCCUUUUUUCUAUCCUUCCAUGUAUCUUUCUAUCCAUCUUGUCUUUGUCUAAAUGUCUCAGAUUAGCUAUUUUGUCCACACAACAACUAAGGAACAAGAACUACAAUAAAAUUCCAGAAAAUCUCAGCAGCCAAAUCUCUAGGAAUUGGGACCCCUUCUUCCAAGCUUCCAAGGCCAGUCACAAAAAAACUUCAUGAUGUAGAACAUCCUCCAAGGAUCCAAUGGUACCAAACUGGAGGUCCCAUUGUUUGGGGUAUGUCCUAAGUUUCUGAAUAGCAUGCGCAUCAGAAAAGAUACAACAACUGUCAUUUGGGGGGAUUUUUGGUAUUUUCUGAACUUGGCAUCAGAGAUCUCUGUAGCAGUCAUGGUAUUUUGAAGUGAGACUUCUUGGAUCUUAAUGUAGGUUUUACCAUUUCUAGAUGUGUGAUCUUGAGCGUGUGCUUGGACCUCUGUAAGCCUCAGUUGGCAUAGCUGUGAAAAAGGAAUCAGAAGGCUGCUGCGAUUAGAAAAAGAAACCCACACAGGAGCACUUGGGACAGUGCCGGUUGUACAUAACAGGUGUUUGGACGGUGUUAGCAAGGAUGGUGACGGUGGUGAUGAUGACGACCAUGGCGGAGACAGUGGCAACCUGAUUAUGAUGGUAACGAUGACAACAGUGAUGAUGAAGAAUAGAGAUGAUGACAGGUGUACGAUGAUGAUAAUGAUGUUUAUGGUAAUAAUGAAGCUGCUGGUGGCUGCUGCUGCUGGUGAUGAUGACUCUGACAGGGAUGGUGAUGGUGAUGGUUUCCUAUUUGACUACUGAUGCUCUGAUGGAGGGAAUGCUCAGUAAGAAGACGUCUCCUUCCAUCCACAGAAGGGAUGUGUCAAGGCUCGGGGACAGAGGGCUUGCCUGGCUCUGUGACUCUAAUCCUAUUUCAAAUGCUUAGCCCAGGGUAAAUAGUCACUCACAUCUUUGUCAGACCAUGUAAUUAAAAAGAAUUCAGAGAGAUGGGGAUACAUUUGGCAUUCUAAUUUUCAAAUUGAUUCCUGCCGUGCCUCGAGGACCGAACAAGCCUCUGCUGGACUCAGGACAUAUGCGGAUCUGGAGACAGAGCUUGGACGCGGAUCCCAACAGGACGUUCCAGGGACCUCAGUCCUCUUACUUGGUGCCCUGUGGCCCCGAGACCGGCUGGAGACUCCACCACAAGGCUCUCCAGGUGCUGAUACUUGCUCACAGCCUUUCCCUCAGGGGCCCACCCUGAAUUCAAGGCGGACACGUGUCUGGGCAUUUCUGUCCAGGAGCUCCUUGUGUGGGAGGACACCAGGAGCUACUCAGCCAGAAAGCCUUGGGGUCAGACUCUCCAGGUACAAGGGUGUGGUGGAAGAAAGCUGCUCAUCUCCUGACAGAAAGGAAGCGGAGAAGGUGAGGGAGCCUGAGAGGAAGGGGCUGGGUAGCAGACACAGUCUCCAGCAUCAUGCCCCUAUGAGCUAUUCCCUCCACACAAGCCCCGCCUCCUGUUUCCAUCUCUCCCCAAUAACGCUGUCAAAUUACCAUCUCGUCAAUAAAUCAGUCCACUGAGAAAGAGCUCCCACUGUGUCUGUGGAUACCCGCAGACACACCCAGAGUGUGGUGUAUGAAUUCCCUAGGUAUUCUGCAGCCAACCGACUUGACAAUCAAGAUCAGCCAUCGCAGUCCAUUUAAAAAUCAAUUAAUUAAGUAUCAAAAGUGUGGACGUUCAGGGAAAUACUUUCUGGUUGUGGAGAGAAAAUUGACAAAAACCUUGAAG